GUGCCAGCCGCCGCGGUAAUACCAGCACCCCGAGUGGUCGGGACGAUUAUUGGGCCUAAAGCAUCCGUAGCCGGUCCCACAAGUCCUCCGUUAAAUCCAACUGCUUAACAGAUGGGCCGCGGAGGAUACUAUGGGGCUAGGAGGCAGGAGAGGCAAGCGGUACUCAGUGGGUAGGGGUAAAAUCCGUUGAUCCACUGAAGACCACCAGUGGCGAAGGCGGCUUGCCAGAAUGCGCUCGACGGUGAGGGAUGAAAGCUGGGGGAGCAAACCGGAUUAGAUACCCCCGUAGUCC
rnacentral:rRNA from 1 species